GAUGAACGCUGGCGGCGUGCCUAAUACAUGCAAGUCGAGCGAAGCGGGGACUCGUGAGUAAAACGUGGAUAACAUACUAUAAGAAGGGGCUAAAUUAGGGAAACCGGAACUAACACGGAUACUUAUACAUGGAUCCGCGCUGGAUUAGCUAGUUGGUAAGGUAACGGCUUACAAAGGCAACGAUGCAUAGCAGACCUGAGAGGGUGAUCGGCCACACUGGAACUGAGACACGGUCCAGACUCCUACGGUAGGCAGCAGUAGGGAAUCUUUCGCAAUGGGCGAAAGCCUGACGGAGCAACGCCGCGUGAGUGAUGAAGGCCUUCGGAUCGUAAAGCUCUGUUAGUAGGGAAGCGGUACCCAAUCAGAAAGCCACGGCUAACUCCGUACCAGCAGCCGCGGUAAUUC
rnacentral:rRNA from 1 species